GACAGAAAAUUCUUUCAAGAUCUUGAAAAUUGUUUUGGGACAAGAAGAUCCUUUCCUGCACAACUCUACCAAACACCUGUCUACAAGCUGUAGAGAGCUGUAUACUGUGUUACUUGGCUGAACAAACACAUUCAGUGACAGACCUUGGCAAGAGCUGCAAAGAUGUUCUUGAGAAUGGCAUGAAUAAAUAUUAGGUGCUGCAUACAAUUCACUGCUUCCCAGGUCUUCAGCAAAACCAGGAAUCAAUUAAAAUCACAGCUGCUUUGGAGUUCAUGGCAGGCACUUCAACAAUAUAGCCUAAAUAAAGGACUUUUAUACCUGCUGAACAGAAUUUACCAAUCAGAUUUCAUCCCUACAACUGCAACCAGUUUACAAGCAUAUAAAGAAAAGUACAUGUCAGGCAUGUGAGGAAAGGGAGAUGGAUCUUGCCUUGGAUGAUGCUUUCUCCAAAAUGAUGUCAAAUUGAUGGGUCUGCAGUUCCCUAGAGUGGCCAUUAUAAAUAUCAGUACUACAGUGAAAUGCUUCCAGUCUUCUGGAACCUCAUUUGAACUAAGGAAGUUCUCCAUAAUGAUCAUUAAUGAUGUAUUGCUUGCAUAUAA